rnacentral:rRNA from 1 species
CCUACGGGUGGCAGCAGUGGGGAAUAUUGCUCAAUGGGCGAAACCCUGAUCCAGCGACGCCGCGUGAGUGAAGAAGUAUCUCGGUAUGGUAAGCUUCUUUUGUAGGGAAGUAAAUGACGGCACCUGACUAUGAAGCCCUGGCUAACUACGUGCCAGCAGCCGUGGUAAUCCGUCGGGGGCAAGGGUUAUCCGGAAUUACUGGGUGUAAAGGGAGCGUAGGCGGGAUGAAAAGUGUGGAGUGAAAUCUCGGGGUUUAACCCGAGAACUGCUUUGGAAACUGUGCGGCUUGAGUGCAGGAGAGGUAGGCGGAAUGCGUGGUGUAGCGGUGAAAUGCAUAGAUAUUAGGCAGAACUCCGAUUGCGAAGGCAGCUUACUGGACUGUAACUGACGUUGAAGCUCGAAAGCGUGGGGAUCAAACAGGAUUAGAUACCCUUGUAGUC